rnacentral:sRNA from 1 species
GCCGGGUGUGUUGGCGCACACCUGCAAUCCCAGCAGCUUGGGAGGGUGAGGCAGGAGGAUGGCGAGUUCAAAGCCAGCCUCAGCAACUUAGCAAGGCCCUAAGGAACUCAGUGUGAUCCUGUCUCUA